UUUUUUUUUUUUUUUAAGAUUUUAUAUAUUUGGGCAGCCCUGGUGGCGCAGCGGUUUAGCGCCGCCUGCAGCCCAGGGCGUGAUCCUGGAGACCCUGGAUCGAGUCCCACGUCCGGCUCUCUGCAUGGAGCCUGCUUCUCCCUCUGCCUGUGUCUCUGCCUCUCUCUCUCUGUCUGUGUCUCUAUGAAUGAAUAAAUAAAUAAAAAUAAAUAAAUAAAUAAAUAAGAUUUUAUAUAUUUAUUCAUGAGAGACACACAGAGAGAGAGGCAGAGACACAGGCAGAGGGAGAAGCAGGCUCCAUGCAGGGAGCCUGAUGUGGGACUCGAUCCUGGGUCUUCAGGAUCACACCCUGGGCUGAAGGCGGCACUAAACUGCUGAGCCACCCAGGCUGCCCAAUACUUCACAUUCUUAAACAAUGUGUAGAACACAACCAUUUCUUUAUGACUCCACAAUUACUAUAAACUCAACUUGUACUGCAUUGCUUGUUCCUAUGCUGGCCCCAAGAAUGAUGUGACUUUUCUCUUAUCCAACACUUUAUUUACUUCCACCUACUAAUUUCAUCAGUUAACUCAAAAAUGAACUCUCUUGAAUUCAUUCUGCUUUCUGAUCUGUAAGAUUAGAAUUUAGAUUAGGUUUCUAGGACUAGUAUGUAAGGUAGGAAAGAGGAGCAAGGUUAUGGGAGAAGGACUUUUUCUUUUGCAGUAAAAUGCAUGGGCUUUAUCGGUUCCCUUAACAAAUCUCCAUUGAGUUUCUUGUGCUAGGCUUCCAGUUCUUUGUCUUUAGCUGUUGGUCUAACAGGGCUUCCGUAUAUGGGUCUGGGACAUCCAUUGGCUGCUGGGAGACUUUGGAUUAUUUCCUGGUUCUUAGUAUUCCGCAUUUUUCAAAUAGAGAAUUCCAGAAAUGGCAGUAUAUAUGAAAGUUUAUAUUUAUAUAUUUUUUUAAAGUUUAUAUUUUUAAAAUAAAGAUUAUUGCCUUAAAGAAAAUUUUUGCAGGAUUUGUUGAGAUGGAAGCCACUCCUAGACAUCAAGUAUGUGACAUGACUUAAAAGUUACAUAUGUGCUCGCUUCGGCAGCACAUAUACUAAAAGUUACAUAAGUCUGUAACUCAUGAAGUAUCUAUGGAGCAAGUUUUGCUUUUCAGACUCUUUUAGUACCAUUUUAUCUAUUAGGUGGAAACAAUUAUGGCAUGGCCUAUACUGAAGACAUGUAUAGUUUUUAUAUUCCACAUAUGGCCUUAAGUAAGGAUGAGAAAGAAGUAUUUUACUAUGGAUUGGAUUCUGUGUAGGAGAGAAAUUAAUAGAUAUUUGGGGAUGGGACACCUGGGUGGCUCAAUGGUUGAGCGUCUGCCUUUGGUUCAGGGCGUGAUCCUGGAGACCAGGGAUUGAGUCCCACAUUAGGCUGCCUGCAUGGAGCUUGCUUCUCCCUCUGCCUGUGUCUUUGCCUCUCUCUCUCUCUCUCUCUCUGUCUCUCUGUCUCUCGUGAAUAAAUAAAUAAUCUUUUUUUAAAAAAUAGAUAUGUGGGGAAAAGAAGGAUAUUUGGCACAGUGAUUAUUACUUUAUUCGUUCAUAGAUUAUUUAGCCUCUUGCCUAAGAAAAAAUAUUUUGAGCUUUUUUGGCGGGGUGGUGAUGGUGAGGUGGUGUUUUAUUACUGUUGUCAUUAAUAAUGUGAAAUUUAUCUUUAGAAAACUUAACCAUAAGUGAACCUGCCGGGCAGCCCGGGUGGCUCAUCGGUUUAGCACUGCCUUCAGCCCAGGGUGUGACCCUGGAGACCCGGGAUCGAGUCCCACAUCGGGCUCCCUGCAUGGAGCCUGCUUCUCCCUCUGCCUGUGUCUCUGCCUCUCUCUCUCUCUCUGUGUCUCUCAUGAAUAAAUAAAUAAAAUCUUUUAAAAAAUUAAAAAAAAAAUAAGUGAACCUGCCUUUCUAGAAAUUGAUAACACUUUAGUUCUCUGCCUGGAUUCUUGACAGAUAUUUAUCUUGCUGGUUUAAAAACAAUUUGAAAAUAAUGGAAGUCACAGUGGGCUCUGGUAAGUUGUUAACAAAUAAGUAAAUGUUGCUUUGGACUUGUGAUGGUUUUAAAAUCUAUCCACAGCUUCUAUAUAUAGAAUAUAUUCCUUUCUAAGUGGAGAAGUUUAAUUCCCCUUCCUUUGAGCAUGGGCUGAAUUUAAUGAUUCCCUUCCAACAAAUAAAAUAUGGAAGAGAUCAAUGAGGAGGGCACUUAAUGGGAUGAGCAUUGGGUUUUAUACUAUAUGUUACCAAAUUGAACUUAAAUUUUAAAAAAUGUAAAAAGAAAAAAAUAUGGAAGAGAUGGUGUGUCACUUCUGAGGGAAGGUAAUGGAAGGCAUUGCUUCCACUUUGUCCAGGAUCACUCACUCUGGGAAGGCCAGCUGCCAUAGCAUGAGGGCAUUCAAGCAGCACUGUAGAGAGGACAUAGAGGUGAGGGAGCCAUAUUGGAAGUAGAUCCUCCAAUCUAAUUCAGGUGACCGUAGUCCUGGCUGACACCUUGACGCAGCCUCGUGAGAGACCCUGUACCAGGACCACCCAGCUAAGCCACUCCCAAAUUUCCAAAACACAAAAACUGAGAAAAUAAAUUGUUGUUUAAGCUACUGUCUUGGGAGUAAUUUCUUAAUGUAGCAAUAGAUUCUGAGAAAAGUUGGGUGCCUAGGGUAUGCCAGGUUGUUACUUUAAGUAUAGAACAUUGUCUGCUUAUUUCAAACUAUGUAAAGUGUAAGCUACCAAUAUUACAUUUGUUCUCAGGGAAAAUUGGACCUGCGAUGUUCUACCCUUGAAGUUUGAGUUCAUGGUAUCACUAAAUAGAAGUAAACUACCAAGGUACCAAGCAGGCCUCAAAUUUCAUUUCCAAGGAAUACGAUGAUCAAUUGCCUGGAAGCCCAACUGGGGCUGUUCCAAAAUGAAACCAGAGAAUUUGAGAAGAUUCUGGCCAUGAGGAUUCAUUCAGUGAGCUAAGCAGUCCAUGUGGCCUCCUGACUCCCUUCCCUUCUGCCUUAACUACUGAGUUGCUGACAGCUUGUUACCAAUCUGGAUUGUUGACAUUAUACACUUAAUUGCUAGGCUGUCAGAUGAGCAUGUUGCUGUGGAAGUAGUUAAAGGCUUUUUAUAAAGUUAGAAUUGAUCUUGUCUUGCUAGCCUUUGCUAAAACCAGGCAAAGGUAAUCUACCUGCACUUUCAAAGUGGCAAGUGUAGUCCGGACAUUCUCCAGAGUCCUUGUACAAGAAUCUCAUGCAUGUGCUCAGCAUGCCAUUGCUAGUUCUGUCUGCAGGGACUGGGAGUCAGGUGAUUUGGGUUUAGUCCUGGCCCUGCUGGUACCUAACACUUGGGCAAACUCCCAUCUCUCUAACCUCAGGGUUUUCAUUUACGAAAUUACAGGUUUGGUACUCUGUGAAUCUCAAAGGAGGCCUCAGACAUAUCUUCCAAGUUCCUGAGGGGCUUUUUCAAACAAAACGUUUCCACCUUCCUCUUCUUGGUUGGAAACCAUGGCCAUAGGGAGCUUUUAUCACUGAGGGGACUGUGGAGCACCCCUUCAUGUCAAGGUGGGAAGAUGGCAGGGAGCCAUUGGGCAAGAUAGCAGAAGCAUUCAGUCCAGUGCUAGGAGCUGGGUCCCAAGGCAAGUAGACAAGAUUGCCCUCCCAUCUUCACAAUUGCUCCCUCCCUCAACCUCUUUUCUUUCUCCCUCCCUCCUUACUUGUUUCUUCCUUUUCUUUUUUGAAAUCCUUUACAAUAUUGAUUUGUUUUAUACAUUUUUUUCUGUUUUUAUUUAAAUUCCAGUUAAUACAACAGCAUAAUAUUAGUUUCAGGAAUACAGUACAGUGACUCAGCACUUCCAUAUGACACCCAGUGCUCAUCACA
rnacentral:lncRNA from 1 species